GAUGAACGCUGGCGGCGUGCCUAAUACAUGCCAGUAGAACGCUGAAGGAAGGAGCUUGCUCUUUCCGGGUGAGUUGCGAACGGGUGAGUAACGCGUAGGUAACCUGCCUGGUAGCGGGGGAUAACUAUUGGAAACGAUAGCUAAUACCGCAUAACAGUAGAUGUUGCAUGAUAUCUACUUAAAAGGUGCAAUUGCACCACUACCAGAUGGACCUGCGUUGUAUUAGCUAGUUGGUGAGGUAACGGCUCACCAAGGCGACGAUACAUAGCCGACCUGAGAGGGUGAUCGGCCACACUGGGACUGAGACACGGCCCAGACUCCUACGGGAGGCAGCAGUAGGGAAUCUUCGGCAAUGGACGGAAGUCUGACCGAGCAACGCCGCGUGAGUGAAGAAGGUUUUCGGAUCGUAAAGCUCUGUUGUAAGAGAAGAACGAGUGUGAGAGUGGAAAGUUCACACUGUGACGGUAUCUUACCAGAAAGGGACGGCUAACUACGUG
rnacentral:rRNA from 1 species